UCCUGGCUCAGGAUGAACGCUAGCUACAGGCUUAACACAUGCAAGUCGAGGGGUAGCAGGGUAGCAAUACCGCUGACGACCGGCGCACGGGUGAGUAACACGUAUCCAACCUUCCCAUAACUCAGGGAUAGCCUUUCGAAAGAAAGAUUAAUACCUGAUAGUACUUUUUCAAGGCAUCUUAGAAAAAGUUAAAGAUUUAUUGGUUAUGGAUGGGAUGCGUUCCAUUAGAUAGUUGGUGAGGUAACGGCUCACCAAGUCUUCGAUGGAUAGGGGUUCUGAGAGGAAGGUCCCCCACAUUGGUACUGAGACACGGACCAAACUCCUACGGGAGGCAGCAGUGAGGAAUAUUGGUCAAUGGGCGAGAGCCUGAACCAGCCAAGUAGCGUGAAAAGGAUGAAGGUCCUAUGGAUUGUAAACUUCUUUUAUAGUAGAAUAAAGUGAGCCACGUGUGGUUUUUUGUAUGUAUACUAUGAAUAAGGAUCGGCUAACUCCGUGCCAGCCGCCGC
rnacentral:rRNA from 1 species